rnacentral:rRNA from 1 species
GGAACAUUGGUCAAUGGGCGAGAGCCUGAACCAGCCAAGUCGCGUGCAGGAUGACGGCCCUAUGGGUCGUAAACUGCUUUUAUACGGGGAUAAAGUGAGCGACGUGCCCCCUAUUGUAGGUACCGUAUGAAUAAGGACCGGCUAAUUCCGUGCCAGCAGCCGCGGUAAUACGGAAGGUCCGGGCGUUAUCCGGAUUUAUUGGGUUUAAAGGGAGCGCAGGCUGAUGAUUAAGCGUGACGUGAAAUGUAGCCGCUCAACGGCUGAACUGCGUCGCGAACUGGUUAUCUUGAGUGAGUUCGAUGUUGGCGGAAUUCGUGGUGUAGCGGUGAAAUGCUUAGAUAUCACGAAGAACUCCGAUUGCGAAGGCAGCCAACAAGGCCUUUACUGACGCUAAAGCUCGAAGGUGCGGGUAUCGAACA